CCUACGGGAGGCUGCAGUGGGGAAUAUUGGGCAAUGGGCGAAAGCCUGACCCAGCAACGCCGCGUGAAGGAAGAAGGCUUUCGGGUUGUAAACCUCUUUUGAUAGGGAAGAGCAUAAGACGGUACCUGUCGACUAAGCUACGGCUAACUACGUGCCAGCAGCCGCGGUAAUACGUAGGUGGCAACCGUUGUCCGGAUUUACUGGGGGUAAAGGGCGUGUAGCCGGGCUGACAAGUCAGAUGUGAAAUCCGGGGGCUCAACCCCCGAACUGCAUUGGAAACUGUUGGUCUUGAGUAUCGGAGAGGCAGGCGGAAGUCCUAGUGUAGCGGUGAAAUGCGUAGAUAUUAGGAGGAACACCAGUGGCGAAGGCGGCCUGCUGGACGACAACUGACGGUGAGGCGCGAAAGCGUGGGGAGCAAACAGGAUUAGAUACCCCUGUAGUC
rnacentral:rRNA from 1 species